rnacentral:tRNA from 1 species
GCGACUUUAGUUUAAUGGAAAAAUCCGAGCUUCCCAAGCUUGUGAUGCGGGUCCGAUUCCCGCAAGUCGCA